AGAGAAAGGGAGAGGGUGAGGGAGUUGUGGAGCGACAGCGACAGAGCCUUGGAGAGGGAGGCUCUGCUCAGGAUUUGUCCCCAGUGCCUUAUUUAGUUCACUUGGUGAGGUCAUGUUUUCCUGGAUGGUGUUGAUGCUAGUAGAUGUUCUUCAGUGUCUGGACAUUAAAAUCUUGGGCAUGCAGCACCAUAUGAGAAGUUUAAAAAAUAAAAUUUAAAGAGAGAAAAGGUGAGUAUUUAUUGUAGUCUUCACUGUCUGGGAUUAUUUGUAGCUAUCUUUCUUGGGAAGGCUUUUCACAUAUUUGAAAAGAGUUGGGUGUUGUGAUCUAAGCCAUAUCUGCUUUAUGGAGCACCUUAUACCCAAUAAUGCUGUAAUUCUUCCAGACUCAGAGAAGUACCACCUUGACAGCCUUCAACAAGAUCCAGGAGAAUUUUCUGGAUUACUAGCCACAGACUCUUUCCCUACCCUUAUUUUCUCUCAAAGAUACAGAGUCUUUCUCUCUGUUCUAAGCCACCUAAAGCUGGGAGAAGAAAGACACAAGCACCUCUGGCCACCACCACUAUGACUGCCCUGGAUCAGACCUGAAGCUAGCACAGCACAGGUCUUGCUCAAGUCCUGCUGCAUGCAAUUUCUGACGACUCCCUAUGUUCACUCAAGGCCUUUGGUCUCUACAAUUAGCAGGUGGCAAAGCCAGACAGGCCUGUGUUCUUUCCUUUAGGGCAGUGAGAUCCCUCAGUCCCUGGCUGGGUCCAGAAGUGCUAUUCAGAAGUCAGGGCUUUGGCCACUUUUUAAUAGGGUUUUUUGUUUUUCUCUUGUAAAUUUAAGUUCCUCAUAUUGAAUAUUAGAUCUUUGUCAGAUACAUAGUUUGUAAAUAUUUUUUCCUCAUUCUAUAGGUUGUUCACUCUAUUGAUAAUUUCUUUUGCUGAGCAGAAGCUUUUAAGUUUAAUUAGAUCCCACUUGUCAAUAGUUGUAUUUGUUGUUUUUGGUGUCUUUAUCAUGAAAUCUUUGCCUCUUUCUAUGUCCAGGAUGGUAUUGUCUAGGUUGUCUUCCAGAGCUUUUAUAGUUUUGGGUUUUACAUUUAAGUAUUUAAUCCACCUUGAGUUGAUUUUUGUAUAUGGUAUAAGGAAGAAGUCCAACUUCAAUCUUCUGCAUAUGGCUAGCCAGUUAUCCCAGCACCAUUUAUUGAAUAGGGAAUCUUUUCCCCAUUGAUUGUUUUUGCCAGCUUUGUGAAAGAUUACCUAGUUGUAGGUAUGUGGUCUUACUUCUAACCUCUCUAUUCUGUUCCACUGGUGUAUGUGUCUGUUUUUGUACUAGUACCAUGCUGUUUUGGUUACUAUGGUGCUGUAGGUUAGUUUGAAGUCGGGUAAUGUGAUGCCUCAAGCUUUGUUCUUUUUGCUUAGGAUUGCCUUGGCUACUUAGGUUCUUUCUUGGUUCUAUAUGAAUUUUUAAAUAGCUUUUUUCUACUUCUGUGAAGCAUGUCAUUGGUAGUUUAAUAGGAAUAGCUUUGGACAGUACAACCAUUUAAAUGAUAUUAAUUCUUUCUCUCCAUUAAGAUGGAAUGAUUUUUCAUUUAUUUGUGUCUUCUCUGACUUCUUUGAGCAGUGUUUUGUAAUUUUCAUUGUAGAGAUUUUUCACCUCCCUGGUUAGCUGUAUUUGUAUGUACUUUAUUCUUUUUGUGGAAAUUGUGAAUAAAAUUGCCUCUCUGAUUUGGCUCUUAGUUUGGCUCUUCUUGGUGUAUAGGAAUGCUAGCAAAUUUCGUACAUUGAUUUUGUGUCCUGAAACUUUGUGGAAGUUGUUUAUCAGCUUAAGGAGUUUUGGGUCACAACUAUAGGGUUUAGAUACAGAAUUAUGUUGUCUGCAAACAGAGGUAGUUGGACUUCUCUUUCUAUUUAAAUACGCUUUAUUUCUUUCUCUUGUCUGAUUGCUCCAGAAAGGACUUCUAAUACUAUGUUGAAUAGGAGUGGUGAGAGAGGGCAUGCUUGUCUUGUGCGGGUUUCAAGGAGGAUGCUUCAAGAUUUUGCCCAUUUAGUAUAAUGUUGGCUGUGAGUUUGUCAUAGGUGGCCUUUAUUAUUUUGAGGUAUGUUCCUUUGAUACCUCAUUUAUUGAGAAUUUUUAACUUGAAGCUUUGUUGAAUUUUACUGAAAGUCUUUUCUGCAUCUGUUGAGACAAUCACGUGGUUAUUAUCUUUAGUUUUAUUUAUGUUAUGAAUCACAUUUUAUUGAUUUGCCCAUGAUGGACCACCCUUCUAUUCCAGGGAAGAAGCUUAUUUCACUAUGGUGAAUUAGCCUUUUGAUGUGUUGCUAGAUUCAGUUUGCAAGUAUUUUGUUGUGGAUCAUUGAAUGGAUGUUCAUCAAGGAUACUGGCCUGAAGUUUUCUUUUUUUGUUUUGUCACUGCCAGGCUUUGGUAUCAGGAUGAUUCUGGCCUCAUAGAACAAGAUGGGGAAGAGUCCCUCCUCCUCUAUUUCUUGAAAUAGUUUCAGUAGGACUGGUACUGGCUCUUCUUUGUACAUCUGUUAAAAUUUGUUAAUCUAUCAGGUCCUGGGCUUUUUGGGGGUUGGUAGGCUAUUUAUUACGGAUUCAAUUUUUGGAGCUCAUAAUUGGUCUGCUCAGAGACUGAAUUUCUUCCUGGUUCAGUCUUGAGAGAGUAUAUGUGUCCAGGAAUUUAUUAAUCUCUUCUAGGGUUUCUAGUUUGUGUGUAUAGAGGUGCUCGUAGUAGUUACUGGUUGUUAUUUUUUUUUCUCUGGGGUCAGUGGUAACAUUCCCUUCAUCAUUUCUAAUUUUCUUUAUUUGAAUCUUCUCUCAUCUUCUUUAUUAAUCUAGCUAGUGCCCUAUCUUAGUAAUUUUUUCAAAAAACCUUGAUUAAGUGAUCUUUUGAACAGUUUUUCAUGUCUCAAUUUCUUUCAAUUCAGCUCUGAUUUUAGUUAUUUCUUGUCUUCUAUAAGCUUUGUGGUUGAGUUCUCCUUGCUUCUCUAAUUCUUUCAGUUGUGAUGUUAGGUUGUUAAUUUGAGAUAUUUCUAAUUUUUUGAUAUGGGCAUUACUUCUUAUGCCCUACUCUAAAUUUUGUUCUUCUAGAAAACUCAGAACUAUGCUUUCUAAACCAAUUCAAACUUUCUCAGUGAAUCAACCUGGACUCCCUGAGGCCAAGUUAGCAAUUUUCCAUUACACUUGGUUCUCUUUCUCUGUAAGAAUAUCUAAUGCAACAAUUCAAGUGUUUCUUUCCCUCCUGGUAAUGCGGGGAACUCCUUUUGGCUGAGACCAAGACUUAAAACCUUGUUCUUUCAACAUUAAUGAAGAUCUAUUUAGAAAGCCUCCAUUUUUGCAGAAAAGAUAUAUAAACACCAAUGAAAAUCAAUAUGAAAUUAUAUGACAUACAAUUAUAUUGUGGAAAGACUGAAUAAAUAAGUGAACUAAGCUCUAAGAAAAAAAGAUGAUGAUAUAAAAUGAUAUAGAAGUAAAAACCUGGGCUGGUAUAGCAUAAUUAAUGUAUCAGUAAAGUAUGUACAUUGUAGAAGUGGCAGGAAGACAGCAUAGAGAGUGAGACCUGACCAAAAGCUUUAAGGAAAGUUCUAUACCCUUAAACGAGAUUAAAGUGGACUCAGGAAAACAUGGGCCACAUGAGGGGAAGGACACAUGUUCCAGAUGAGCCAAAGCUCAGAGCAUCUCUACCUUCUCCAGGAGGAAAGGGGAGGCAAAGCAGCAGGCAGAAGACAGCACGGCCAGGUCAGCACAGGGCACCCAGGCCAAGCCAGGUGGGCUCCAUCAUACAGGUAGUGAGGAGUCACUGCCAGGUGGGCUUUAUUCAUUAGUUUGUUUUGUUUCUUUUAGUAACGAAGACACAUGAUCAAAGUUGACCUUUGUAAGUGUUGCUGCAGCUGAACAAAAAGAUGGAUAAGACCAGUGUUUUAAAAAUUAUGUUGUAUAGAGCACUAGCCUCAGUGAGAUAUUAGUAGAACACACAGGCACACACACACACACACACACUCACACUAAGCCCAGAUUAUUCUGGCAAAUGCUGGGUUAAGCAAACUAAAAGAAACAUCUUUAGUGCUGGACUUCUCAGAACCUGGAAUGUCGCUAUAUGACUCAUAAAACAGCAAGGUUAAGACAGAACAUGUCAUUUUUUCCCAGAAAUGCUGAAACACUUUCCUUCCCUUGGCUUCAGUGUCACCUUCUUUCUCCUGGUUCUCCAUCAACCUCUUUGGCUGAUCCUUCUUGAUUUCCUUCUUGACAAUCUGCUGCUGCUCAGCCAUUCUCUUUUCAUUCCCCAUGGAUUUCUCAAGUGCGUUUCUAUUCCUGCAUUUUAAACUUUCCUUGUUUUUCCUGACACCUCUCCUUGUCUGACUCACCCCUGUUCUAAGGCAGGUGUUCCAUCUGUGUGCGCUUUUGGCACCCUGGGAUGCUCCCAGCAUGUUCCCUGCCACACUCCAUCAGGUUUUCUCCGCAGACUCUGUGAGGGCAGCAGCCUUGUCUCCACCAUUCCUUCAAUGCUCAGCACAUAACACAGAAGCUGACUCCAUAACAUUUAGUUGGCCAACUGAGACUAAAUAUAUGUUCCUCUAGAUCUUAAAAAGUUACAGAAACAUAGCACAAUAGACAAAAUAUUCUCUUUAGUCAGGAGUUCUCUAUAUAUGUACAACAGUUUGAAGUCAUUAUUAAAGCAAAGUGAAAGAGAAACUGUCACAGAAUUCCCCAAGAUAAAUUAUUUUGCUUUAGUCUUCAUCAUGUGAGAUAAUCAAGACCAUGUGUUAUUGUAAAUAUUUCUAGCUUACAACACAACGACCUGAUUUUUAUUGUGUGAAAUAACCGCAAUAUAAAUCAGUUAAUUAAAAAUUGCAUAAAUAAUCCUUUCAAAUAAAAUUCUGCCUAAAUUUUACAUUACUCAUAUGUUCAAAUGAUAAUGAGCUCAUAGGCUUUUCCAAUACCUCAGUCAAAACACUGUACUGAUUCCAGCUGUGGGAAUAGUAUCUGAAAGUUAUUUUACAGAUGGGGAACAGGUACUUACCUGACAUUGGCCUUUACACUACUGUGCCCUUUUAGGUCAGGAAAAAGCUGUUCCCUUAAAAUCCUAAAAUCUCUUCUGUCAGGUCUGAAGGGUGGGUGGGAAACACAGUUUUACAAAUUUUAGCCACAGAUGUUUUAUUCCUUGCUUAAAGCAGUGACUAGAUAAAGGCCACUAGAAGAGUCUCCAAUGUUUCUUUAGAAGCGUGUGCCUGAGAACAUCUUCCAGAAACACUCCCUUGUCUCUGCCCAAAAUCACCUUAGGUAGGAAAAUCAAAACUCAGCAGGCUGAGGGAUCCAAGGGGAUCACUGAGCUCUGAGUCUUAUGAGAGAAGAGAGAGAGGUCUAAGACUUUUUGUGUAUAAAUUUAUGGGUUCCAAGUGUAAUUUUGCUGUAAGCAUGGAUGGCAUAGUGGUGAAGUCAGGGCUUUUAGGUAUCCAUCACCAGAAUAAUGCACAUUGUACCCAUUAAGUAAUUUCUCACUGUUCACCCCUUCCAUCCCCUCACCCUGCUGAGUCUCCAUUAUCAUUCCACUCUCUACGUCAAUAUCUACACAUCUUUUAGCACCCGCUUAUGAGUGAUACAAUAUGAUGUUUACUCUGUGUCUGGCUUGCUUCACUUACAACAAUGGCCUCCAGUUCCAUCCAUGUGUCUGCAAAAGUUAUAAUUCUAUUGUUUUUUAUGCCUGAAUGGUAUUUCAUUGUGUAUAUUUUCUACAUUUUCUUUCUCCAAUCAUUUGUUGAUGGGUAUUUAGUUUCAUUUUAUGUCUGUGCUACUGUGAAUAGUGUUGCAACAAAUACACAAGUACAGUUAUCUUUCUGAUACAUUGAUUUCUUUUCCUUUGCAUAAAUACUCAGUGGUGGGAUUGCUGAAUCAGACAGAGCCAAUAGAUGAUCAGUAAUGGUGGCCAAUCAUCAGCUAGAAAGAAAGUGCUUAGCAGGGCUUGAAAACACCAAAACUCUGAGACCACUGACCUUCAAAAACUUCAACAGCCCUGAGUGAAAAGUCCAAACACAUUUAUCUACCAUUCGAAGACGCUUUAUUGUCUGUCCUCUGCACAUCUCAGUAGUCUCUUUUUACCACACUGUCUAUAUACUGCAUGAGCCAUUUAUAUGAAACUAUCUGACACUCCAAGGCAUCUUGUACUAUAUAUUCAACUAUGUAUCCCUAGUACCUAGCACAGUCCUGGCAUAUAGUUUGCUACUAAACUUUUACAGAAU
rnacentral:lncRNA from 10 species